GUGCCAGCAGCCGCGGUAAUACGUAGGUGGCAAGCGUUAUCCGGAAUUAUUGGGUGUAAAGCGCGCGUACGCGGUUUUUUAAGUCUGAUGUGAAAGCCCACGGCUCAACCGUGGAGGGUCGUUGGAAACUGGAAAACUUGAGUGCAGAAGAGGAAAGUGGAAUUCCAUGUGUAGCGGUGAAAUGCGCAGAGAUAUGGAGGAACACCAGUGGCGAAGGCGACUUUCUGGUCUGUAACUGACGCUGAUGUGCGAAAGCGUGGGGAUCAAACAGGAUUA
rnacentral:rRNA from 1 species